GACGAACGCUGGCGGCGUGCUUAACACAUGCAAGUCGAACGGAAAGGCCCCCUUGUGGGGUACUCGAGUGGCGAACGGGUGAGUAACACGUGAGUAACCUACCCUUGACUUUGGGAUAACUUCAGGAAACUGGGGCUAAUACCGGAUAGGAGCUCCUGCUGCAUGGUGGGGGUUGGAAAGUUUCGGCGGUUGGGGAUGGACUCGCGGCUUAUCAGCUUGUUGGUGGGGUAGUGGCUCACCAAGGCGUUGACGGGUAGCCGGCCUGAGAGGGUGACCGGCCACAUUGGGACUGAGAUACGGCCCAGACUCCUACGGGAGGCAGCAGUGGGGAAUAUUGCACAAUGGGCGGAAGCCUGAUGCAGCAACGCCGCGUGCGGGAUGACGGCCUUCGGGUUGUAAACCGCUUUCGCCUGUGACGAAGCGCGAGUGACGGUAAUGGGUAAAGAAGCACCGGCUAACUACGUG
rnacentral:rRNA from 1 species